rnacentral:rRNA from 1 species
UACAGAGGGGGCAAGCGUUGUUCGGAAUUACUGGGCGUAAAGGGCUCGUAGGUGGCCAACUAAGUCAGACGUGAAAUCCCUCAGCUUAACUGGGGAACUGCGUCUGAUACUGGAUGGCUUGAGUUUGGGAGAGGGAUGCGGAAUUCCAGGUGUAGCGGUGAAAUGCGUAGAUAUCUGGAGGAACACCGGUGGCGAAGGCGGCGUUCUGGACUGCAACUGACACUGAGGAACGAAAGCCAGGGGAGCAAACGGG